CCAUGCAGUCGAACGGCAGCAUGGAGAGCUUGCUCUCUGAUGGCGAGUGGCGAACGGGUGAGUAAUAUAUCGGAACGUGCCCAGUAAUGGGGAAUAACUAAUUGAAAGAUUAGCUAAUACCGCAUACGACCUACGGGUGAAAGCAGGGGAUCUUAGGACCUUGCGUUAUUGGAGCGGCCGAUAUCUGAUUAGCUAGUUGGUAGGGUAAAAGCCUACCAAGGCGACGAUCAGUAGCUGGUCUGAGAGGACGAUCAGCCACACUGGAACUGAGACACGGUCCAGACUCCUACGGGAGGCAGCAGUGGGGAAUUUUGGACAAUGGGGGAAACCCUGAUCCAGCCAUCCCGCGUGAGUGAAGAAGGCCUUCGGGUUGUAAAGCUCUUUCGGAAGUGAAGAAAACUUAUUUCGUAAUAUGUUAUAAGAAUGACGGUAACUUUAGAAGAAGCACCGGCUAACUACGUGCCAGCAGCCGCGGUAAUACGUAGGGUGCGAGCGUUAAUCGGAAUUACUGGGCGUAAAGCGUGCGCAGGCGGUUUUGUAAGUCAGAUGUGAAAUCCCCGAGCUUAACUUGGGAACUGCGUUUGAAACUACAAGACUAGAGUGUGUCAGAGGGGGGUAGAAUUCCACGUGUAGCAGUGAAAUGCGUAGAGAUGUGGAGGAAUAUCAAUGGCGAAGGCAGCCCCCUGGGAUAACACUGACGCUCAUGCACGAAAGCGUGGGGAGCGAACAGGAUUAGAUACCCUGGUAGUCCACGCCCUAAACGAUGUCAACUAGUUGUUGGUGGAGUAAGA
rnacentral:rRNA from 1 species